rnacentral:rRNA from 1 species
GACGAACGCUGGCGGCGUGCCUAAUACAUGCAAGUCGAACGCAGUGGGGACGGGUGAGUAACACGUGGGUAACCUCCCAUCAGAGGGGAUAACACUUGGAAACAGGUGCUAAACCGAUACUGAUGUAUGUACCCGCUGUGCAUUAGCUAGUGGGUGGGGUAACGGCUCACCAAGGCCACGAUGCAUAGCCGGCCUGAGAGGGUGAGCGGCCACACUGGAACUGAGACACGGUCCAGACGCCUACGGGAGGCAGCAGUAGGGAAUAUUCGGCAAUGGACGAAAGUCUGAGCGAGCAACGCCGCGUGAGUGAAGAAGGUCUUCGGGUCGUAAAAUUCGGUUGUUAGGGAGGCGGUAUCUAACCAGUAAGCAACGGCUAACUCCGUGCCAGCAGCCGCGGUAAUAC